AUGUAUUUGUUGUUGUUAUUGGAACCAGGCAGGACUACUAUUUGUUGGCUGAGUGGAAUAUUGUUGUUGUUAUUGGAGACAGGCAGGAGUAUUGUUGUUGUUAUUGGAGACAGGCAGUAUUGUUGUUAUUGGAGACAGGAGUAUUGUUGUUGUUGUUAUUGGAGACAGGCAGGAGUAUUGUUGUUGUUGUUAUUGGAGACAGGCAGGAGUAUUGUUGUUGUUAUUGGAGACAGGCAGGAGUAUUGUUGUUGUUGUUAUUGGAGACAGGCAGGAGUAUUAUUGUUGUUAUUAUUGGAGACAGGCAGGAGUAUUGUUGUUGUUGUUGUUAUUGGAGACAGGCAGGAGUGUUGUUGUUGUUGUUGUGAUUGGAGACAGGCAGGAGUGUUGUUGUUGUUGUGGAAUAGGCAGGGUAUUGUUGUUGUUGUUGGAGACAGGCAGGAGUAUUGUUGUUGUUGUUAUUGGAGACAGGAGUAUUAUUGUUGUUGUUAUAGGAGACAGGCAGGAGUAUUGUUGUUGUUGUUGGAGGCAGAGUGUGCUGCUGUUUGUGGAACCAGGGCAGGACUACUGUUGUUGUGGAGACAGGAGUAUUGUUGUUUGUUGUUGGAGACCAGCUAGGAAA
rnacentral:lncRNA from 1 species